AUGAUUUGAAAGUUGUUGUACAUUGUUAAGUGUCUCUGUAGUGGCCUGCUUGAUGUGGUCAGUUUAGGAUGAAAUGUAUUGGACCCAAAGUGGAGCAGUGGUCAUUACUUCCCUGGGAUGACCCAUUGUCAUGACAGUAACUGGACUGCUUGCAGCUCCAGUCUCCAUACAGCAUGGUGUCUUCUAGGUGAACUGACUUUACCUGGCUGAACAUGGGGGGCAUGUAUUUUAUAAGAAGCAGACAUAAAAAGGCAGCAACAGGAACAUCUUCAUCUCACCCAGUUGUGCAAGACAUGGGAUGUGGCAAGUUUUAGGAUGAAUGAACAGCCAGAGACAGGACAGCCAUUGUAAACAGCAAAUACACUUCUGGAAUUGUGUAAAGAGCUGCUGGCAGACCAAGAGGUCAGUUUUAUACUAAGUGAGAGAGAGUGCUGCCAGAACCACCCAGAACAAGACUUCCAAACACGGCAGAUCCUGUGGAGCCAGUUAUAUGGAACAGUACAAUUACACAACAAAUGUGGGUUCCAGGUAACACAAAGAAUCAAUUUCCCCCAUAUGUAUGGAAACUAUAGAGGAAGGGUAUAUAAAGCAAGAAGAUUGUGUUGGACAAUACUCUAUCACUGAAGAUGAAUAGACACUUUGGAAAUGUUUAAAAGUGAAUUGAUAUUUCAUCUCAGU